rnacentral:rRNA from 1 species
GAUGAACGCUGGCGGUAUGCUUAACACAUGCCAGUCGAACGGGGUUCAUAGUCACCUAGUGGCGGACGGGUGAGUAACGCGUGAGAAUCUGGCCUCAGGUCCGGGACAACCACGGGAAACGGUGGCUAAUACCGGAUGUGCCAUAUUGGUGAAAGAUUAAUUGCCUGAGGAUGAGCUCGCGUCUGAUUAGCUAGUUGGUGGGGUAAAGGCUUACCAAGGCGACGAUCAGUAACUGGUCUGAGAGGAUGACCAGUCACACUGGGACUGAGACACGGCCCAGACUCCUACGGGAGGCAGCAGUGGGGAAUUUUCCGCAAUGGGCGAAAGCCUGACGGAGCAAUACCGCGUGAGGGAGGAAGGCUCUUGGGUUGUAAACCUCUUUUCUCAGGGAAGAAGAAUGACGGUACCUGAGGAAUCAGCAUCGGCUAACUCCGUG